UACGUAGGGGGCAAGCGUUGUCCGGAAUCAUUGGGCGUAAAGAGCGUGUAGGCGGUUCAGUAAGUCGGCUGUGAAAGUCCAGGGCUCAACCCUGGGAUGCCGGUCGAUACUGCCGGACUAGAGUUCGGAAGAGGCGAGUGGAAUUCCCGGUGUAGCGGUGAAAUGCGCAGAUAUCGGGAGGAACACCUAUGGCGAAGGCAGCUCGCUGGGACGUUACUGACGCUGAGACGCGAAAGCGUGGGGAGCAAACAGG
rnacentral:rRNA from 1 species